rnacentral:rRNA from 1 species
AGAGUUUGAUCAUGGCUCAGGACGAACGCUGGCGGCGUGCCUAACACAUGCAAGUCGAACGGACGAGGCCCCUUCGGGGACCGAGUUAGUGGCGGACGGGUGAGUAACGCGUGAGCAACCUGCCUUUCAGAGGGGGACAACAGUUGGAAACGACUGCUAAUACCGCAUGAUGCAGCGAGAUCGCAUGGUCUUGCUGUCAAAGAUUUAUCGCUGAAAGAUGGGCUCGCGUCUGAUUAGCUAGUUGGAGGGGUAACGGCCCACCAAGGCGACGAUCAGUAGCCGGACUGAGAGGUUGAACGGCCACAUUGGGACUGAGAUACGGCCCAGACUCCUACGGGAGGCAGCAGUGGGGAAUAUUGGGCAAUGGGGGAAACCCUGACCCAGCAACGCCGCGUGAAGGAAGAAGGCUUUCGGGUUGUAAACUUCUUUUACCAGGGACGAAGAACGUGACGGUACCUGGAGAAAAAGCCACGGCUAACUACGUGCCAGCAGCCGCGGUAAUACGUAGGUGGCAAGCGUUGUCCGGAUUUACUGGGUGUAAAGGGCGUGUAGGCGGAGCUGCAAGUCAGAUGUGAAAUCUGGGGGCUUAACCCUCAAACUGCAUUUGAAACUGUAGCCCUUGAGUAUCGGAGAGGCAGGCGGAAUUCCUAGUGUAGCGGUGAAAUGCGUAGAUAUUAGGAAGAACACCAGUGGCGAAGGCGGCCUGCUGGACGACAACUGACGCUGAGGCGCGAAAGCGUGGGGAGCAAACAGGAUUAGAUACCCUGGUAGUCCACGCUGUAAACGAUGAAUACUAGGUGUGGGGGGACUGACCCCCUCCGUGCCGGAGUUAACACAAUAAGUAUUCCACCUGGGGAGUACGACCGCAAGGUUGAAACUCAAAGGAAUUGACGGGGGCACGCACAAGCAGUGGAUUAUGUGGUUUAAUUCGACGCAACGCGAAGAACCUUACCGGGAUUUGACAUCCUACUAACGAAGCAGAGAUGCAUUAGGUGCCCUUCGGGGAAAGUAGAGACAGGUGGUGCAUGGUUGUCGUCAGCUCGUGUCGUGAGAUGUUGGGUUAAGUCCCGCAACGAGCGCAACCCCUAUUGUUAGUUGCUACGCAAGAGCACUCUAGCGAGACUGCCGUUGACAAAACGGAGGAAGGCGGGGACGACGUCAAAUCAUCAUGCCCCUUAUGUCCCGGGCUACACACGUAAUACAAUGGCGGUCAACAAAGGGAAGCAAAGCCGCGAGGCAGAGCAAACCCCCAAAAGCCGUCUCAGUUCGGAUUGCAGGCUGCAACUCGCCUGCAUGAAGCUGGAAUUGCUAGUAAUCGUGGAUCAGAAUGCCACGGUGAAUACGUUCCCGGGCCUUGUACACACCGCCCGUCACACCAUGAGAGUCGGGAACACCCGAAGUCCGUAGUCUAACCCGCAAGGGAGGGCGCGGCCGAAGGUGGGUCUGAUAAUUGGGGUGAAGUCGUAACAAGGUA